rnacentral:rRNA from 1 species
AUUGAACGCUGGCGGCACGCCUAACACAUGCAAGUCGAGCGGCAGCGCGAUUAGUAGCAAUACUAAUUGGCGGCGAGCGGCGGACGGGUGAGUAACACGUAGGAACCUGCCCAGAAGUGG